GAUGAACGCUGACAGAAUGCUUAACACAUGCAAGUCAACUUGAACUUCGGUUUGGGUGGCGGACGGGUGAGUAACGCGUAAAGAACUUGCCUCACAGAUAGGGACAACAUUUGGAAACGAAUGCUAAUACCUGAUAUUAUGAUUAUAUGGCAUCGUAUAAUUAUGGAAGCUAUAUGCGCUGUGAGAGAGCUUUGCGUCCCAUUAGCUAGUUGGAGAGGUAACGGCUCACCAAGGCGAUGAUGGGUAGCCGGCCUGAGAGGGUGAUCGGCCACAAGGGGACUGAGACACGGCCCUUACUCCUACGGGAGGCAGCAGUGGGGAAUAUUGGACAAUGGACCGAGAGUCUGAUCCAGCAAUUCUGUGUGCACGAUGAAGUUUUUCGGAAUGUAAAGUGCUUUCAGUUGGGAAGAAAAAAAUGACGGUACCAACAGAAGAAGUGACGGCUAAAUACGUG
rnacentral:rRNA from 1 species